GACGAACGCUGGCGGCGUGCCUAAUACAUGCAAGUAGAACGCAGUUGCGAACGGGUGAGUAACGCGUAGGUAACUACCUAUUAGAGGGGGCCAACUAUUGGACACGAUAGCUAAUACCGCCUACUAGUAGAUGGACCUGCGUUGUAUUAGCUAGUCGGUAGGGUAAUGGACUACCUAGGCAAUGAUACAUAGCCGACCUGGAAGGGUGAUCGGCCACACUGGGAAUGGGACACGGCCCAGACUCCUAAGGGAGGCAGCAGGAGGGAAUCUUUGGAAAUGGGGGGAACCCUGACCGAGCAACGCCGCGUGAGUGAAGAAGGUUUUCGGAGCUUAAAGCUCUGUUGUUAAGGAAGCGGUACUUAACCAGAAAGGGACGGCUAACUACGUGCCAGCAGCCGCGGUAAUAC
rnacentral:rRNA from 1 species